ensembl:processed_transcript Gm9899 predicted gene 9899
CCAAGAUCAAGUUCUUUUGGCUUUAUUGAUUUUUAUUUUAUGUGUAUGAACAUUUGUCUACAUGUAAGUAUGUGCACCACAUGCGCUUAUCCCUAAUGUAGAAGAAAGUGUUAGGUCCCCUAGGCUGGAAUGUAAAUACUUACGAGCUUCCAUGUAGGUGCUGGGAACCAAACCUGGGUAUUCUGCAAGAGCAGCAUCUGCUUUGAACCAAUGAGACAUUUCUUCACCCCCAUCAGCCCAUUAGACCAUGUUUUAAAAAAAAACUGGAGUAAUUAUAUAUUAUUUGUAUUUGUAUUUUUAUCUAGGAAUUUUAUGAAAUGAGUUUUUCCAAAGCAUCCAUGACUUUUUAAAAAAGGAACACUUUGGUGGCAUCUAGAUCCCAGGUUUAUCAAGGAAGUAGGACCACGUGUAAGUAUAAAGAAGAGAGGGGAGGGGGUUCUGGAAAUUAAGGGUGAGCAAGGCGGGGCCAGGAGAGAUGCUAGCCAUCAGGUGGCUACCUGUCCACUGGUCCACACAGCACUUCCUUUCCCUAGGGCAGAAUCCCCUUUGAGAGCAUUUAGAUGUUAUAAGGAUGAUGAGAAGGGAGUUUCUGGCACUGAAGCCCUGGGGACUCUGGGCUGGUACCAAGUCAUUGGUGUGACCCAAACUCAACAGGCUGGCCGGCAGAGGCUGGAGAUGGAGCGCAACCAUUUCUCUGGUGAUUCUAUGAAGAUGCUGUUAGCAGUGGGGACUGGAGCUGCUCUGCUGCACAGCCAUCUCCUCUGUGCUGAUGGUCACAGUCAUGGCUUUUGGAGCAGGGUGGCUUUGCAGGGUGGCACCUGACUUCCUGCUUCUUCUGACCUUGGUGAUCUCAGAUGACUGGUGCCCAUGCAAUUAGACAAGGCCCUUGGUCUGUCCUCUGAGAGGAACUCUGUUCUCUCUUAUCAGCAGCCAGUCCUUGUGAGGCCGCAAAUGGCCCUUGAGCAUCCACAGUGGGGACCGUGGAGAAAAACAACCUUGACCGGGGAGUGGGUCAGAGGAAAGAUGCUUCUCCUGGGAGGGACCGAGGGGAGAAGAGGGAGAAGGUGGCAGGCUGAUUCAGGUUUGGGCUUCCUGUUCCUCGGCAACUGCUCACCACUUUCCAAGAGAGUGGCUGUGAGUGAAGAGGAUCCCACUUUGUUCCCAUCUGCUUCUACUGGUGACAAACAAGAAGGCCAGCCUGGGAGGCGGGUGGAACCUCAAGCUCAGCUCAAGAGACCUUGACUGCUACCCAGAGGCUGGGGGCACACAGAAAAAGUAGUAUUUAGGGUGUCUGGCUGUAGUGUGACAAGUGAGAUCAUGGCCUUCUUGGCUCUGCCUCGUCCCCAGAAUGAUCUCGUGCCCUGCCCCAGUCACCUUACCCCUUUAAGGCUCCUUUAAGGCUGUUCUCUCUGCCAUUCAUAUCCUUUGCCAUUCUACCAAAUGUACGGGUCUUGUUCUUGUCUUUAAACCAGAAACAGAAAUAGGCAUAUGCUGGUGCUCCUGACAGCAGAGGGAUGGGGCCACCCGGCCCUGCAGAGGUGGUCACGGACAACUAUUGAAGCGACUGUCAUCAGAGUCCUCAGUGAAGCAGGAUUCAAUCUGUGAUCAGUCUGGCUCCAGCCUGUGCUUCUCCCUCUCCGCCACGCUCCCUCACUAGAAAAUGACUGAGGGCAGAGCCAGGCAACAACAGGGGAAUCAGAACAGAAGGUGCUGUUAACGCUGGGCUGGCACACAGCUAGAGCUCAGAAAAAUGCAGUCACAUGAAUGAAUGAGGAGCUCUGAACGGAAGGCGCGGGGCAGGUCCAAGAAUCAGCAUCAGCGUUUCCCAUGGCUGGACAGAUGCUCAGCUUCAGGUGGAAAACAGGUCCCAGAUGUGAGCAAGGCCUGGUGACUAUAGCUCACAC